CAGGCUUAACACAUGCAAGUCGAGGGGCAGCAUUUCAGUUUGCUUGCAAACUGGAGAUGGCGACCGGCGCACGGGUGAGUAACACGUAUCCAACCUGCCGAUAACUCGGGGAUAGCCUUUCGAAAGAAAGAUUAAUACCCGAUGGUAUAAUCAGACCGCAUGGUCUUGUUAUUAAAGAAUUUCGGUUAUCGAUGGGGAUGCGUUCCAUUAGGCAGUUGGUGAGGUAACGGCUCACCAAACCUUCGAUGGAUAGGGGUUCUGAGAGGAAGGUCCCCCACAUUGGAACUGAGACACGGUCCAAACUCCUACGGGAGGCAGCAGUGAGGAAUAUUGGUCAAUGGGCGCAGGCCUGAACCAGCCAAGUAGCGUGAAGGAUGACUGCCCUAUGGGUUGUAAACUUCUUUUAUAUGGGAAUAAAGUUUUCCACGUGUGGAAUUUUGUAUGUACCAUAUGAAUAAGGAUCGGCUAACUCCGUGCCAGCAGCCGCGGUAAUACGGAGGAUCCGAGCGUUAUCCGGAUUUAUUGGGUUUAAAGGGAGCGUAGGUGGACAGUUAAGUCAGUUGUGAAAGUUUGCGGCUCAACCGUAAAGUUGCAGUUGAUACUGGCUGUCUUGAGUACAGUAGAGGUGGGCGGAAUUCGUGGUGUAGCGGUGAAAUGCUUAGAUAUCACGAAGAACUCCGAUUGCGAAGGCAGCUCACUGGACUGCAACUGACACUGAUGCUCGAAAGUGUGGGUAUCAAACAGGAUUAGAUACCCUGGUAGUCCACACAGUAAACGAUGAAUACUCGCUGUUUGCGAUAUACAGUAAGCGGCCAAGCGAAAGCAUUAAGUAUUCCACCUGGGGAGUACGCCGGCAACGGUGAAACUCAAAGGAAUUGACGGGGGCCCGCACAAGCGGAGGAACAUGUGGUUUAAUUCGAUGAUACGCGAGGAACCUUACCCGGGCUUAAAUUGCAUUUGAAUAUAUUGGAAACAGUAUAGCCGUAAGGCAAAUGUGAAGGUGCUGCAUGGUUGUCGUCAGCUCGUGCCGUGAGGUGUCGGCUUAAGUGCCAUAACGAGCGCAACCCUUAUCUUUAGUUACUAACAGGUCAUGCUGAGGACUCUAGAGAGACUGCCGUCGUAAGAUGUGAGGAAGGUGGGGAUGACGUCAAAUCAGCACGGCCCUUACGUCCGGGGCUACACACGUGUUACAAUGGGGGGUACAGAAGGCAGCUACCUGGUGACAGGAUGCUAAUCCCAAAAGCCUCUCUCAGUUCGGAUCGAAGUCUGCAACCCGACUUCGUGAAGCUGGAUUCGCUAGUAAUCGCGCAUCAGCCAUGGCGCGGUGAAUACGUUCCCGGGCCUUGUACACACCGCCCGUCAAGCCAUGAAAGCCGGGGGUACCUGAAGUACGUAACCGCAAGGAGCGUCCUAGGGUAAAACUGGUAAUUGGGGCUAAGU
rnacentral:rRNA from 1 species